GUCUAAGGCUAUGCCACCCUGAACACGCCCGAUCCCGUCUGAUCUCAGAAGUUAAGCAGGGUUGGGCCUCCUUAGUACUUGAAUGGGAGACCACCUAGGAACAUCAGGUGCUGUAGGCG
rnacentral:rRNA from 1 species